rnacentral:lncRNA from 1 species
AAUUAGAUGUCUGGCUUACGUAGGAGCUGAUCUGUCGUCAUUGUAGAUUGUCACAUGGCUGGGCUGCGUUAGCUAGCAAGCUUCCUGGAGCCUGCUCCACUGUCUUCAAGCCAUCCUACAAAUGCCAGGGCUUAGCGCUUUUGCUAUUGGAAGCACCCAUCUGCAAGGGCAAAUGUUGGUUGUGAAUAAUUAUUCUCAUCACCAGUAGAGAACGCUGAAGUUGCUGACGCUAGUUCAGGUUCCUUGAAUUCUCCCAAUUUACCUGACAAUCCUCUUAACAUUUCACAGGUGUUUCCAGAGCUACUGUGUCUGCAGAAGUUCCAGAAAGCUCAUGGUGAAGAGUCUGCUUUCACCUGUCAGAUUCAAGCCCAUUAAAUGAUUUGAGGAAAUGAAAAACAAGUGAUCCUUUUAGAGUUGUCAACAACUGGCCUACAGUCUAGCUUGAAGCUUUUGGUAACCCCACCAGCUACAGCUCUGGACAAGCCAAAGAUUGCCAGAAGGAUACAUGUUGCCUUUGAAACUGCAGCCUUUGACCUGGUCUUAGACUUCCACUUCUGAACUGACAAUCCCCAGCAUUAUGCGGCUGUGGAGUGCGUGGGGCAGUGCAGCCACAAGCUGAACAAAAUCAGGCCCUGGGAACACACCCUCCACUUUGCAGAAGGUCAUGGUAAGGCUCGCUCCCAGGGCUGUGUCCUGCAAGGUGCUAAACACCCAUUAUUCCCUGACCCACCAAAGCAUUUUAACACGGCC